AUCCCUCUAUCUCUCGCAAAUUCCUCUCUCUUAGCUCCCUCCCUCUUUCGCAAAUCGCUGUGCUCUGUCCCUCUCUUGCGAAUCUUGUGCUCCCUCCAAUUUUAUUUCAGUCUUGCACUCUCUCCCUCUCUCGCAAAUCCCUAUCUCUCAGCUUGCUGUGCUUUCUCCUUCUCUCGCAAAUCCCUCUUUCUUCUUGACCUUUCUUCGUCUCUCUUCCUCUCUCUUGAUUGCAACUUGGCUGGCUUCAUUUCCAGCGAAUCUAGGUUGUGUGGUUGCAAAGAAGCUUUUUUUCAGAGAGGUGAGUUUAAAAACCAACCCGAGAUUUUCUAAAAGUACACUCGAAUAUCAGAAAAAAUUUUAUUGGGAUCCAUUUGUUGAUGGAAUGAUCAAAGAAGCUUGGAGAGCACACAUUCAUAAAUGAUGAAACAUGAGGAAAAUGGGAACAACACUGGGAUGAUCCUGUAGUCAUUCGAUAUUCAGCGCAAAACUCUUAAAAUCGUCAUGAUGCUGCAGAUGUUCCUGGACCAUCUACCCAUACAAGUAGAUCAAUUAGUUAUGCCUAUAUUUGAUAAAUUGGUGAAUCUCAACUUCAUAUCUUUUUUUUUUUUAACUUUUGCAUUGAUUAUGAUUUAUGUAUAUAUGUAUUUAUUUAGGAGAAAGAAUUGAGUCAACUAGCAAAUGCGACUAAGUUAUUUAUUUAUACUCGUACUUGCAAUCAUGACAGAG